AACGAUUGGUAGAAGUAACAAUACAAGAAUUAGUCAUCAUUCUUUUAUUUGAAAAAAACCUUUUCUACAUUUAGAUUCCAAGCGUAUCGAAGUAGCCAUCGGUAAUACAGUAGUGUUUAUUUGUUAUUUUAUUCUUCUAGUCUGUGGACAAGUUUCUUUAUAAUAAACUCGUUCCGAUUUGUAUGUGUGCCAGUUCUUCUGUAAUCACAAAGGUACUUUUUAGAUUAUGAACGCCAAGUUUCAUAUAAAAACACUUAAAAAAAAAAUAAUAAGGUACAAUUUCUUUAUUUUAUUAUUUUAUAAAAACACGGACGACGUUCUCUACGAAAAUAGGUCGUCCAUGUACUAAUCGAAAAAUCACAAUAUAACUUUCAAUUGGUAUCAACACCAGAUUUUUGAGCCACUUUUGAGCUUUUAAGGAAUUUAACUUUAGGAUCGAGUUUUUUAUCGAAAAAAAAGCUUUAAUCCGAAAAAUAACAAUGUAGCCUUUCGUGGCCUUUAUGAUUUACUUUCAAACGGUAUCAACUUCACUCAGAAGAGUCUUUCAUCAAGCAAUGAUAUAUCUGUUAGAAAAGAUAUACCAUUCUUUGACGAAAUGAAAUCACCCAGUGUAUUAUAUGUACCUAACUUUUCACUUAUAACGGAGGCCACUCCCAUCUUUAGUACCACCACUAUUAUUAAGAGUAAGUGCAAAAUAUAAGAGUUUCAUUUAACUCUCUUCAAAUAAAUUACUUUGCAUGUGUUUGCAGCCACUGUUGUUGUAGGUGGAAAAUUAGGAAUGUAAAAUUCAGGCUGGCUGAAAUAUAAUGUAAAUCUGUAAAAAUCGAAAACCGUUGAUAUCGAAAAAACGAUUCUGAGAGAGGUUUACUGAAAAAUAUUGCUGUGUCAACAAUACAUAUGCCAUAUUAUAGCAAAAUAGUUGCAUAUGCAUUAAACAUUUUCUUUAAAAAUAUUUCUUCAAUUUUGUAUCUAUUCUCCCGUUAUCCUGAUUUUGACAUAUUUAAUUUUUAGGGAGGGAUUUGACUUUAAUAAAAUUUAUUUUAAUAAUAUAAUAAUAUAAUUAACAAAUAUAAUUUAUUAUUACUUAUUACAAAUAGUAAUAACAAUUACUACCUCCUAAUUAUAGUCAUAUCCAAACAUCAAAUUGUACAAGUUAUAAUCAGCAAAAAAUAGGUGCGUUAGCAUUCAUAUUAUAUAAUACAUGACUGAUAUUAUACGUAAAUAUUUUUUUCAAAAAUAUUAUGUUAUUAUAUGUCUAUAUUAAUAAAGCAUAAUUUAUAAUUUUUAGUAAACAAAAAAAGUGAAAAUUUCCAUAAUUUUAGUAAUUUUCAAAUUAAAAUAAACUCAAAAAAAAAUUUUUGAUCCUGUAUCGAGUAGGCAGUGAACCUAGCGGUAAUUUUAACUGCAGUAAUUUUUUCAAUUAAUUUAUCUUAGACCGUCAAGUGAAAGUGAUUACACCAUAAUAAUCUACCUUAAAGGUAGGAUUAUAGUGUUUCAAUGAUUUUAUUGAUUUCAAUAGUACAAUAUUUUAAAUUUAAACAUUUAAUAACUUUAAAUUUUAUUGUAAUAUGGCUGAUUUUGUCUGAUUCAAAUCAACUUUUGUUGAAUAGGUAAUUUACAAACUUGGCGAUCUAAACCUCUAGCAAGAACAUUUGGAUAAUCAGUCGACUACUACUAUAACGUAACUUGUAGCAAUUAUUAUUGUCAACUGGAAUCAUACCUAUAUAGUAAAUAUAAAUUGUUAAGAUCGUAACGCUUAACUGAAAUAUAUUAAAAUCAAAGCAUAAAAUUAAAUUUGUGUCUCCUAAGAAUAUCGUAUUAUUCGCGUAUCUAUUUCCGAUUUAUAGCAAAUAUGCUGUUAAAUUGUAUCGUUUCGUAUGUUAUUAGUUAAUCUUUUAUGUUAGUGUCAGUACACGGUGAUGGUGAGUUUGGUCCUGAUUUGCCACAACAAGAGCUCCUUUUAAAUCCAUAUUCCUCUGAUGGCCCUGGCAAUCCACCUGUUCCCAAUUACCAUGGCAUUCCUUCUAACAAUAAUCACAUUACCAAUAAAC
rnacentral:lncRNA from 1 species